rnacentral:tRNA from 1 species
AGGAUGAUAGUUAAAAAUAACAAUUGGUUUGCAUUCAAAAAGUACUGAUAUACAGUUCAUCUUA